rnacentral:misc_RNA from 1 species
GAAAGGAAAACAGGGGACGAGAAAGAUUCUGGGAAGGAAAAUGGCGUGCAUCAUCACCACAAAACAGUGAGAACCCAUGGGAGAUUUAGUGGUAAAGCCAAAAAGACAAGUGGUUGUAAUGGAAACCAGGGCGUUGAGGAGAAGGUUAAAAAGAUUGAAGGAAAGAUGCCUGAUGAAAGUUAUGAAGCUUUAAUUGGAACCAAGUCAGAUAGUAUAAACCUUGAAAUUUCAGAGGCAAAACACAGUGAUGGUUGCCAUGAAAAAGUUGGCCAUUCUGCUGUUGGUCAAGAAGCAACUGCGAUAGGUGCCCCCCGUAAUAUAUGGAAAAGUGAAGAAGCAGGAAGUGAUUGUUCAAUUAAAAAUACAGGAAUUAUAGAUCUCAGUGGUAAUAAGCUAACUGGUGUCAACUUGAAAUGUUUAAAUGAUACAAGUAGAAAGGUACAACAUGAAAAUAGCAGAGAUUAUGAGGAUUCAACUGUAAAAGAACUGCAUGCUAUCAUCAACCACCCAAGGACACCAGAAGAGAAAACUGAGGAGCUGGUGAAGUCCACCAAAGGCUGUGAAAUCAAUGAUUAUAAUGGUAUGGAGUUAGCUGGUGCUCAUCUUAAAACUUUGGAGGUGAAAAUUAAUGAUGGCUAUC